CGUUGCAGGCUCGCAUUUCUCCAAGGUUAUCAGCCAGGACUGCAAUGGAGUAAUUGCACACCUGUCCACCAUAUUUUGAUGGUGUACUCCUACUAAUAAUAAUUUAAUAAGAACAAUGAUGAUGAUAAUUCAUUGGAGGUGCUUGCAUGAGUGGGUUAUGAUAUGUGUUUUUGUAUAUUAGUAGGUCGUAGUGGGGAUAUGAGCCUUUUAUCUAUGAGAUCAUAAAUUCAGAAUGAUGAAACAAAUUAGCAAAGACGAGAUCUUUGCUUAGAGGGGGGAAAAUUGAAAAAUAUUAUGAAUCGGAGAUUAUCAAGAAAAUGAAAUACGUACCCAACUUUUAGUCAUGUUUGAUUCCUAGAAAAUACCAUUGAAAGACAAAAAUUUGUUAAGAAAAAUAAUUUUCUCAUACUCAAUUAUGAUAUAAAAAAUAGAAAAAAAAAGUCUAAUAUAAUUAAAAUUAAUAAGAAGAUCAUAUAUUUUUAAAUUAUUUAAUUUUUACAUCAAAGAGUUAAAUAGAUAAAAUGAAUUUAGAGUAAUAUAUAAAAAUAAUUUAUUGACUUUAAAACUUUUUUUUUUUCUCUAUUUUCUUUUCCACACAUUUCUCUUCGAACUUUUUAGAACCAAACAUAGCCUUAAUGAUGGAUACCUAUUUGGAUACAUUUUAUAUAAAAAUAUUUUAUCAUAUAUAAGUAAAAUAGAAACUAAAAAUGUAUUAAAUACAUCAAAUGUAUCUAUUUUUUCUCUUUAUUUUUUUUAUUUUUUAUUUUUUUAUCAUUUUCCCUUAUAUAUUAUCUAGAACUAAACAUAGCAUAAGUUUAUGUUCUUGUAAAAAUUGAGGGAAGUAAAAUAUGGAGGAGAAAGAGGAAAAGAAAAAGGUAAGAAAAAAUUAUAGAAUUUUUAUCUUAUAUUUAAAAAUUUUGAGGGAAUAAAUAAAUAAAUUAAUAUAGAGGAAAAUGCAUGGAGCCAUGAGUGGAUAUGGAUGAAGUAAUGGGGUAAGAAGACUAGGAUUGCAGUGAUGAAUGGAGAGGUGGGGUUGAGUAGGUGAUCAUGAGAGGGAAUGGAUGGCAAGAGUAUGGAGAGGCGCAGGCUGAUUGGUGGGACAAACGAGGCUGGCCAAAUAUGGAGUGGAGAGAGAGAGAGAGAGAGAGAGAGGGAGGGAGGGAGGGAGGGAGAUAGGGAGCAAAAUAGGAAGUAAGGAAUGAGAGAUGGGUAGUGUUGGUGUUAUGAAUAUGGGGCAGUGAAAAGCUAGGGAAGUUGUUGAGGUCGUAGGGAAGUAACCAAAGUGGGAAUGUGUGAGUGGGGGAUGAGGAGGUUUCCAUAGUUGGCUGAAAGACACAAUCAAACGACGAUUUAUUGUCAAUAAUGUGUGAAAUAUCUAUGAGAUAAACAACAAUUUUAAACGUGAAGUAUCAAAAGUGGUGGGGGUAAGGAUGCCCAAUUAAUGAAGUAGUGUGAGUUCUGUUUUGACGAUGUACGUCGAUUGUGAUAUCGGCCCAGGCAACGUGUUAGGUGUAUAUGGAGGUCAGAUGAAAUGUUGGAUCUUCAUUAAAUAUUAUCAGUAGAAGAUUUAGAAAAAAUUUCAACAAUUUUCUUAAACUUUGGAAAGAAUGUGAUAACUUAAAAUUUAUACAACAAAGGGACAAUCAUGAAUAUUUGAUGAAGUGAUCAAAUGAUCAAGUGAGUAUGAAGACUAUUUUGAGAGGCAAUGCAAAUUAUUGAAUGACAAGUGACUAUGGUGGUGUUUGUUUUUUUGGUUUAAUUCUAAAUAGAACUUACAUUUAACUUAAUACUAAAUAAUGUUUAAUAGUAUUAAGUAUUAAGUUGUUUGAUUUUUUAAUAUUUCUAUUAAGUGUUAAACACUAAUAUCUUAAUAUUUUAAUGUAUUAAAAAAAAAAUAAUUUAAAGUAUUUCUAAAAAGUUCAAAAUAAUAAAAUUGUUAUAAUAAAUAAUUUAUCAUUAUUAUCCUUACAAAAAAUAAUUAAUAUAUUUAUUUUUUAUAUAAUUAAAAUAAAAUAUUUAAACUUAAUAAUCUAAAAAAUAAUGGAUUGAUAAAACCUAAAUCAAAUCAAAGAAAAAAACAUAACAAUUCAAGUACAUAUUUUCAAAUAUCAAAACACAUCACAUUUUAUGCUAAUAUCUAAACAUUGCAUUUCUUACAAUGGUAAAAAGCUAAAAAUGACAAGUUAAUUAAAUACUUGAAAAAGUUCAUUUGUGAUUUGGUCUCAAAACCGUUGCAUGAAUUCUUGAUCAGAUGCUGCAAAAAAACUACUUGUAGUUGAAUUUUGAUUUUGAUUUGUAUUGUCACUUUCCAAUUCCACUUCAUUGUCAUAUUCAGAAAAUAAUCUAUCUGCAACUGAGAUUUGUCGAAGAAAAUUGUGAAUGGAGAAGCAUGUCAUGACAAUUUUUGUUUGAGUAGUAAACAAAUAAGGUGUCAUUCUCUUUAAUAUUGGGAAACACGCCUUAACAACACCAAAAGCACGUUCAAUGACAUUUCUUAAUCUUGCAUGACAUUGGUUGAAUAUCUCCCUUUUUCCUCUAGCUUUAUCAUCACUAUGAAAAUCACUCAACCCAAAUUAAAUUCAAAUAGUAGCAUUAAAUUAGAGAUGAUAAAUAUAUAGUUUGGAUAAUGGAAGAAUAGACAACAAAUAUCAAUCCAUUCACAUCUAACCAUUCUAUGUAGAGAAUGAAUUCAUCUAACACAAGAAGCAUUAAAACCCAAAUUAUGCCAACAACACCUAAAGACAGUUUAUAAAAACUGUCCAAAGUCCCUUAAGAUGAUUUUUUUUAAAGCAUUCAAAUAUGGACAUGCACAAAGAGGAAGGUAGGAAGGGUGGGAAGCAUAUAUAUAUAUAUAUAUAUAUAUAUAUAUAUAUAUUUUUUUUUUUUUUCAUUUCUAAAAUUAUUGCCACCUCCAUCUGGUAGUUGGCUGACAAACCAACACCAAAUGAGCUGGGUCAGUCCCAACUGAAAUCUGCUCUGUGACCCGGGAGAGCUGCACUUGUGAGAGGAGUGUGAGAAAGAGAGAGAGAGAGUGAGGUGUGUGUGAAAGAAAUGGUCUGAGUUGUUUGUGAAAUGAAAUAAACCUCCUAUAGUCUUUAGACUGAAUAAUGGUUGUGUGCAGUGCAGAAUUCAGAUUGUGGAUGGAUAAUCAAGUGAAAGAAAAGCAAAACAAGGGGUUCAUCUCAUUGAUUGACAAUGCUGUUCCUCUAUAUGACCGAGAAUAUGCAUUGGGUCUAACUUCAAUGGAUUAUUUGAAUAACCUGGAAAGGUAAUGGAUUUACAUUUAAUAUGUGUAUUGCUGCUUCUUCAGAUAUAUAUGCAAUGAAAGAUUAAAAAAAAAGAAUAAAAAAUUAAAACAUAAAUAUAUAUAGGUGUUUGACACGGUUACCUCUUGAAUUUUAUCCCGCAACAUUUCUGUGUGCUGCAAUAUCACUGUUGGUUUUAAGAUUGUUGUGAGUGAUUGACACAGAAAAGUUUGACAGUUUUAUUGCAUAAACUUUGGCAUGCUUGGGUGAUAUCAUCUUCUGUGGUUGAAAAAGUCUUAAUGCUCAUUACCAUCAGAUCCCUAGCUCCCCUCCUAAUGUCUUAAUGCCUGGGAUAGGGUUGUGACUUUUUCACAUUACAUGGAUGCUUCAGAUUUUGUGGAGUACCUUUUCAGGCAUGAUAAGUGAGCAUGGAAUGAGACGUGUGUUUAGAUUUUCUCCUUUUCAGAUCCAGGAUCAAAUAAAAAACAAGGGAGUACUGAACUUUAACAAUUCUUCCAAAAUAGUAUGAAAAAAAACAAAACAAAACAAAAAACAAUCUUCUCUAGCUGUUUUCAACUACCCUCUUUCCUCUGUUCUUUCACAUGUAUACUAUUUUCUUCAUUUGUUUUAUCAUUUUCAUCCAUCUGUAACAUGUUGGGUGCUCAGUUUUCUUCACUAAGUAUGAACAAAGAAGUCCUCCUAGGGAGUCAUUGUCUCUAAUUAUCAUCCACCCCUUUUAGUCUAUUACCCAUUAUUUAAUGGGGCAUGAAAAGACCAUCCCCAAGAAAAUGACAUCAUGUUGGAGCAUUGACGUGCCCAAACAACAUUGGUUUGCCUGUGCCUACACCAGAGAUUUGUUUGGCAGAGUGAAAUCAAAUUUUACUUUUUGUACUUGUUUGAUUUACCUCUUAACAAGUGUGGGAUUCCAUAAACUAAACACUCUCCUCAAUAGAAGAACAGAUUUGUCGUGCAGUUGAAAACUCCUCUCCAUUCAAUUUAUGAGUUCAAUAAUAGCUGACUUGGAGAUUGCUAGUGUGGUCUCAACAACCAUGUGCAGUAGAUGAGAAAAUUCUUGGAAGUGAUUUCGUGGAGUAUAAUCAUGUGAUUCUAGAAGCUAAAGACACCCAGAAGCUAUGUUCAGGUAACCCAGGCAAAAGAAAGCUUUACAACCCUUAAUAUCUUUAGCCCAACUCUUGAUUGAGUUGAAAUAACCUGUUCUCUCCUACUUAAAGACACCCUUUUUAUACACAAAGUUUUUCGAAAUUGUCAGGAAUGUCAAUAGGUAUAAUUAUUUUGCUGAAUGUUGAAGUAUUCUAAAUACUCAAGGUUUAGCCUAUUCAUAAACAUUUCAUCCAAGUUCCAGAGUCUUAACACUACCCUCUAGAGGAUCACAAAUGUUCCAUGCCCAUCUAAUGAGGGUUUUGGACAGUGCCAUUAGCAAUUUCCUAAACACAGUUGGAGCCUUACUCUAGAACCAUCUAUAAAUCCUGGCAGAGGAUUCAUUUCUGUAAUUCACACUUGCCUAUAUAGGUGCCAGGAAUGUCAAAAGACACUACACAACUGCUGGUGUGCCCCAACCAAUAAGGUGCAAUGUAGAACAGAAAUGUCUUUGAGUGUGUUCUUAGGAAAAAACAAAAACCAAAAUGACCCUUCAAUCUACACACAUGAAUGCAGCCUUGUUUCAUUUGACAACAUCCCACUAUAUUUAACAUGGAGAGAUUUUACGACAAAUAUAUAUCACACUACUUUUAUUCCCAGAAACCAGGUUUUCAUCAAGUUAUGGUUCUGGGAGUAAAUCAAACUCCUCAUGCUUGGGAGGAAUAAUUUUAUUUUUGAUUAUCACUUCACACAUGCACACAUAUACAUUUGAUUAUCACAAUAGAAAAGAUUGUUUCCAGCAACCAAGUACAAGUGAAUGACAGAGCUUCACUUUGCUCAUUGGACAAGUGAAUGACACAGUACAUGAGCAACAAAAAACAAUUCAAGCAGGCAGAAAACAGCCCACAAAAUCACACAUAGUUCUUCAAAGCUAGAACCGAAACACACGAAUGCAUUCACAAAACCCAUGAGCAUCUCUACAAAAUUCAUUGAACCUGUAAACCCAUCAAAAGUGACUUGGACAAAAAGAAACCAGAUCACUCAAAAAAAUAAAAUCUGCAUUUUAGUUCAAUUAGAUUCUAAAAAAUUCCUAUUAUCUUUUCCUUUGUAGGUUCCAAACCCACUCCUACAAGAUCAAAAUUCCCCACAAAAUCCCAAAAUAAACCAUUGGCAUGAGAAUCAUAAAGAAUCAUACUAGAGAAGAUAUUAAUAAACCAUUUCCAAACAGAAAACAACUACCUAUGGUUUAACCCCAUUGUUGAGAAAGAGCAAGAACGAAAACUGAAACCUAAAUAAAGAGAGAAAAUGGGGAAGACAUUACCUUGAAAAAGCUUGGUGAGGGUUGUGGAACCAAUGAGCUACACAGGGAUGAGGUGAGGGUUGGGGAUCACCGGUUGCAAUUAAGACUAGAGAACUACAAGGGAUGGACGUUAGGCGUUGGGUUG
rnacentral:lncRNA from 1 species